rnacentral:rRNA from 1 species
AGAGUUUGAUCCUGGCUCAGAUUGAACGCUGGCGGCAUGCCUUACACAUGCAAGUCGAACGGUAACGCGGGGGCAACCCUGGCGACGAGUGGCGAACGGGUGAGUAACGCAUCGGAACGUGCCCAGUAGUGGGGGAUAGCCCGGCGAAAGCCGGAUUAAUACCGCAUACGACCUACGGGUGAAAGCGGGGGACCGCAAGGCCUCGCGCUAUUGGAGCGGCCGAUGUCCGAUUAGNUAGUUGGUGGGGUAAAGGCCCACCAAGGCGACGAUCGGUAGCUGGUCUGAGAGGACGACCAGCCACACUGGGACUGAGACACGGCCCAGACUCCUACGGGAGGCAGCAGUGGGGAAUUUUGGACAAUGGGCGAAAGCCUGAUCCAGCCAUGCCGCGUGCGGGAAGAAGGCCUUCGGGUUGUAAACCGCUUUUGGCAGGAACGAAACGGCGCGGGUGAAUAACCCGCGCUAAUGACGGUACCUGCAGAAUAAG